AAAGGUGACCACCAAAGGAACAUUCCUGUGAAGUUUGGAUGAAAUUGGCCUAGUGGUUUAUGAGGAGAUGUCAUUUAAAGUAAAAGUUUACGGACGCCGGACGAAAAGCGAUCACAAAAGCUCACCCUGUCACUUUGUGACAGGUGAGCUAAAAAUUACAAGCAUUAAGCUACCAAUACAAGGGACCAAUUUGAAGCCAAUCAUCCAAGUAAACCUAAAAUGCUACCAUCGGACUUGUACUAGUACAAGAUUACAAUAGAACAUUAAAUUACUUACCAGCCACUUUUGCCAACUGCUGUUUUUUCACAUCAGUCUAUUGGUACUUUGGAGGAAGUUUUGCUUGAGCAUUCGGGUACUUUCUGCUGGCUGUAAAUGAAAUUGUUAAACUGCUUAUUUGAUAUACAUUUGCAAAACUUUUCUAAAUAUUUAAGUGGAGUUCAUAGCAGAUAAGAUUGUUAACAAUGUGUAUUGCUUGUAUAGUUGAAGGUAUGAUCCUUGCUUGAAUAUAAUUUCUGACCUGUGUAAAAUCUGCUUCAAAUCUGUACUUUAACCCAGUAAACAUGUGUAAAUACCAUUUCACUUGAUUAAACACUAUUUAUGUGUUUGCAAUUGGAGUAAAUCAAGUUUUACUGGAAGGUAAACAAUGAAUUUUAAAGACGAAGUCUCGAUAUUUUGUGAAUUGUUUUCGGUCGCUUUGUUAGACAAGGGGGGUGGGCAAUGAUUUUGUUGAAGUAUUUUGGGGUCGAAGUCUCCAAAUUUAAAUAUUAUUGCACUGUAGUCAGUAGAAUAACAAUUUUACAGAUUAACAACAUAAAAGUGAGUGUCCUUAACUAAAUGACCAUGUAUGAACAACAUUAAAUCGUCCACAUCGAAAUUUUAUCAAAACUGCACCACGUGGCGUCACAUGCUUUGAUGCAGAAUACUUACAAUGAAUUUCACAGAUGACUGCCUCGUAGGGUUUUUUAUUGAACUGCGCAGAUACCAGCACACAUUCUGUGUAGUCAUCCUUGAUUGGUUUCAGAAUAUGGAUUUUACCUAUUACUGAUCCCAUUAGGUAAAAAAGUUGCGGGCCCGCCAUAUUCAACUAAAAAAUCACUGGACUCAAUCGCAACCUUUCGGCCCUUUUUGUCAGUCAUCGGAUAAUCUGGUUCCCUGUUCUAUUAUGGUUUUAGAAGUGCGCAGGGGACCAGUCUAUAUUCCGGAGAUAGUCGAAGUCACACGAUUUUGAGGUGGGUCGCUUAUGUCUUCGAUGCCUGUUAUGUAUCAAUGUUUUUUAUUGAUGAAAUGGUAAUAAUAGAUAGCUAAAGCUUGUUUUGAUAAAUUCUUAAAUGUAGAAUAAUUGAAAAGAAAGUUUUAGUAGCAAGCAAAUUUUUUAUUCCAUUUUAUAAAUAUAAUCCUCAAGGAUGUGAGCGAUCAGACGGAAGAUGUAAAAUUUCGGUAGCACUCCACAGUUAAUUUCAAGUUCCUGCCGUCAAUGUCCUACAAGCAAUACGUCUAAUAAUUCUGAUACCAAACUACACAACCUGGAAAAAGAAAACACAUUUUGUUGAGAACAUAUAUGACAUAAGAUUGCAAAUCUACAAAGAAAUUAUCCCAUCUGCAAUAGGCAGGCAGUCAAAAAAGUUGCAAUUCAUUCCGUUGAAGCCCAAAAUCUACAGUGGCCCGAGACCCAAAACAACACAUUUCGUCCCUCUGGCAAAAAAUAUCUGCAAAUAUACCGGCUAAAGGAACACCAUCUCUGCUUUAGCAACUCCCUAUACAUGCAAAAUAUCACAAAGAAAGAAGUCCUCAACCUUGUAGAUUUUUUGCUAUUGCUAAAAGUUUGUACCCCCCUGUAAAAUGACUUUUUUUUACCGUGCAUGCUGUUCAAAAGCAAUGUUUACAAAAAAUGGCGGCCUUGACAUAUAAAAUCAACAGCAUGUGAUUUCUGGCCAUGUUUUCGAAUUUGCCAGUGAUCAUAUUAGAUGUCACAAAAACAAAUUUCAUGCUGAAAAUGCAUUUUAAAGACAACCAGUCAUUUAAUUCCAGAAUAUUCACUAUAUCCAAGAAAUCCUCCCUGGCCAUUCGAAGCUGUGGCUUACAUUACUGUGGUGUGCUACCUUAAUCCUCAUUAUCAACGCACGAUUGUUAUUAUUGGAAUAUUUUAUGUGGUAAAUGUUAGUUUAUUUUACACCAUUUAUAUUAUUCUGUUCAAUCAACUAUGUUUGAUAAGCGAGGUUUGAUUUAUACGAAUUAAUUAUUCGAAAACAGUCUACCUUGAUUAUAUAACACUUUCAUAAUAUUCGGAUGUUUGCAUUUCGGAUCGGCACAAUUUUGAUGGAGUCUGAGAAUAGCCAAAAGUGCUUGUCGCAUUGAUUUGACCUAAAAUUUGUUUAAUCUAGUUAUUUAUGUAAUAUGAUAUCCAUAUUUUAAAAGUUAAAAUAGAAAUGUCCAUUCUUGUUGACAAAAUUUUCAUCAUGGACCAUGAUGGUGGUAACUGGGUAAUAUGGUCAGAUUGUGUUGAUUCCAUGUGAAAAUCCGAUGAUAUUACCUAUAUUUUUCUAUCAAAACUGACUAUGAACAGAUCUUUAUUUAUAUGCAAGUUGAGGUAGUAAAGCCAGAAAGUAAGAAAUCACCCAGGUCCGAAAGAUAAGACUAUCAUGACAUGUACAUUGUAGCUGGGUAAUUAUGCUUGAGAUGCAUUAAAUUAACACGAGAGAUCAAAUUGGGCGAAUACACAUGCAAAUAACUAGAUUUUACAUACUUUUUAAAUGCCUAUUCUUCACGAGAGGCAGUAAGUAUUUAAAAAAUAUUCUACAUGCAGAGGGUAUUUUUAGAAGGUAAUUCCUACUGGAAGUAUUCUCUGGCUUUUGUUUUGCAUACAUUAUCAUAAAGCAGAACACGGAACCAUGCACCUGUUGCGGGAGAACACUUCCGGUUUUGGGAUUACCAUCCACAUGUAGAAUCUUUGUUAAAAUACUGGCACAUAGCACUUACAUGUAGUGCCACUUGUGGAGCAUAAAUCUGCAAAAACAUCUGCAAAAUGGUUUACAAAGUUAAAUGUGUUGAACAUAAUUAUGAGAAAAAAACAAAAUCAGAACUUUUUUAUUGAAAGCUUAAGAACAUUUUCCCAUUGUAAUACUGUCAUUUGUGCUUUCAGCUCCAGUUAAGCCAACUAAUAAAUUAUACCUCACUGACGAAAGCAAGGCAGUGCCUUGAAGCACCAAAUACAGGUGGAAAUCCCGAAAAAUAUGAAAGUCUCUUGAAUUUGGUGAAAGUAAUAUAAGAGAUUUUUCGCCUAGUAUCUGGAACACUACACUAAAGGAUGAUGACAAUUAUGAAACAAACCAAACAGAUUUCAGUGAUGAACUGUCAGGAUCUGGAAGUCUCUCAUCUUAUGACAGUGAUGCACUUAGCACAUCAUCAAGAGUCACAUCGUGUGCAGCUUCUUCAGAGAGUGGGAUGUUAGAUUUGGAAAUUUCCAAUGAAAUUUCAAAAAACAAAAGCUUUCAUGUUGCUCAACUGUUUUAAGAAACACAAGUUAACUUCUAGUGCAUGCAGUGAUAUUCUAAGGACAGUGAGACAAAUACUACCUUCAUUGAGAAAAAAACCCACUAUUUAAUUAUAGCAAAGUUCUCUCUUUUGCACCAGCAACUAAGUACAUGUACACUGAAUUUCAAUACUGCAGCAAAUGUGAAUGCAUAAUUUCCUAGGCAUUAGAUUUUGUUUUGACAUGUUUUAAUCAGUGCAUUUCUAACAGUGUUAAGAUGUGUGUCAGGACAUAAUAAACUGAUAUAUAAUUUAUUAUUAUUUCCAGUGCUUUGUUUUUUGUUUAAGGAUAAGCUUUUUUUGUAAGUAAAUAGAUUUUCAGUUUGGCUUUUAAUUGACUUUAACAUACUUAUGUAUUAGUUCAUGUAAUUUGAAUGACAUUUCCAUUAACCCUUUUCAUGAAUAGAUAAAGGACUAUGAGUUAUUCUUAAAAGGUUCAAGAAAAGACUUUGGUUCAUGAAAUGUGCAUGAUAUCUUUGGAAGUGUCAGAUCAUGAAUAAAUCAAGGACUCUGAACUAUUCUUAAAUAGUUCUUGAAGCGUUCAUGAACACCCCUAAAGUACAGUUCAUGAACAAAAGUUCUUGAACUUGUAUCAUGAAUAAAUUAUAACCAGUUCAUGAACAGUUCUGGAAUGUCUUGAAAUAUUCAUGAUUUCAUGAACUCGAUAUCAUGUGAAAUUUGGGAAUGCUUGCAUCAAGACAACAUGCAGUUGUUAGAUUAGGUGCAAAAAUCUGAAAGUAAUAUUUUUGGAGUUAUUAGAAUUUUGUUAAGUGUGGUUAACACUGCAUGAGGUGCUCUUGUUGUUGGCUAUUGUAUUGAUAUACAUUUAGGGUGAUGAAGAAGUCAGACAAGCCAUUUGGUGGAAUACAACUGAUUAUUUGUGGAGAUUUUCUUCAGUUGCCCCCGGUUUCCAAAGGAACUGAGAAGAGGAAGUUCUGUUUUCAGUCAAAAUCAUGGAGUAAAGUUAUACAGCUCAAACUAGAAUUGACAGAUGUAAAAAGACAGUCCGACAAAAAGUUUAUAGAUAUUCUACAAAAUAUUAGGCUUGGAAGGUAUUUUAAAGACUAAAGUAAUUCCAUGUUUUUUAAUUUGAUAUGAUAGUCUGAUUCUGAUUGUUUAGUUGUUAUAAGAAUUACAUUAAGGUAUUACCACCCUAUUGGGCACUAUAAGGAACUAAAAAAUUGACAUCAUAGGUCAGAUAUUUACCUUAAAGUACACCUGUAUGCAAAAUUUAAACAAAGUUUACCGUACGGAAAUCAAGUUAUGGCCACUUUUCUGAACUCAAGCUUGGAUGUUUUUUUGAGGAACCUUUAAAUAAUCUGCAAUAACAUUCUUAUGAAAAAUGUUUUCCCAUUAAUUUUUGGUAAGAAACAAAUAGUACCAUUCAGCUAACAAUCCACAUAAGCAAAAUUAUGGUUUCUACUUAAAAUUUAUGAAAUCUGUAUAAAAAUGUUACCCUACCCCACCCAUUUUUACCACAUGUCUGACCAUUUUCCUACUUAGGGAACCUAAUUUAAAAAAUCCUUAAAAUUUACCCAAAUGAGUGCCUGUUUUCAAAAUUUCCCUAAAUUUUUAAAGAAGUAUAUUGGUUGAUCUUGUAAAAUAUGAAAUACUUUUACCGUCUAGUUUUGAUUUUAUUACACUUUGAAAAUAUCAGGUACCAUAUUUAUUACUAGAUUUAGCAUAAUUUAGCCAAUAAAUACCUAUAUAAAUUAAAAAAUCAAAAUUAAACACUUUUUUCUUUCCAAAUGGGACAUGAGAGAUACAUAAAUAAUGUUAAAAGAAAGAAAAAAAAAGUUGACCCUUCUGGGGAUUGAACCCAGGCCCUUAUUUUCAAUGUAGUUAACAGUAGUUCUAGCCUAUUUGAAUACUCUUCAAAGCGGAGGUAAUGCAUUAGGAUGGUAAUACCUUAAUUGCAGUAUUAAUAUUAAUUUUCUCUACAACAUAUUUUUAGCUCGACUAUACGAAGUAUAUGGAGAGCUGUCCUACUCGCCCCGGCGUCCGCGUCCGCGUCCAGAUUUUAGAUUAAAGUUUUGGUGCAGUAAAAUAUUUUUCACUAUAACUUUGUCAUUUCUUAAGGUAUCAACUUCAAACUUCAAAUAUAUGUUCCUUAUCAUCAACCACAUCUUAUGUGACAAGGUUCAUAACUCUAGCACCAAUAUUUUCAGAUUUAUCUCCCCUUGAACUUAGAAUUUUCCUUAAAAAAUACUAUUUUUUUACUGAUACUUCUUUAUUUCUUAAGGGAUCAACCUCAUACUUCAAAUAUAUGUACCUUAUCAUCAUCCCCAUCUUAUGUGACAAGGUUCAUAACUCUAGCACCAAUAUUUUCAGAUUUAUCUCCCCUUGAACUUAGAAUUUUCCUCAAAAAAUACUAUUUCUUACUGUUUCUUCUUUGUUUCUUAAGGGAUCGACCUCAUACUUCAAAUAUAUUUAGGUUAUCAUCAUUCCCAUCUUAUUUGACAAGGUUCAUAACUCUAGCACCAAUAUUUUCAGAUUUAUCUCCCUUUGAACUUAGAAUUUUCCAUAAAAAAUAUUAUUUUUUACUCUAACUUAUUUAUUUCUAAAGGGAUCAACUUCAUACUUCAAAUAUAUUUACGUAAUCAUCAUCCACAUCUUAUGUGACAAGGUUCAUAACUCUAGCACCAAUAUUGCAAGAAUUAUCUCCCCAUAAACUAAGAUUUAUUUACUAG